rnacentral:rRNA from 2 species
AAUCCAUAGGUUAAUGAGGCGAACCGGGGGAACUGAAACAUCUAAGUACCCCGAGGAAAAGAAAUCAACCGAGAUUCCCCCAGUAGCGGCGAGCGAACGGGGAGGAGCCCAGAGCCUGAAUCAGCAUGUGUGUUAGUGGAAGCGUCUGGAAAGGCGCGCGAUACAGGGUGACAGCCCCGUACACAAAAGCGCAUGUGCUGUGAGCUCGAUGAGUAGGGCGGGACACGUGGUAUCCUGUCUGAAUAUGGGGGGACCAUCCUCCAAGGCUAAAUACUCCUGACUGACCGAUAGUGAACCAGUACCGUGAGGGAAAGGCGAAAAGAACCCCGGCGAGGGGAGUGAAAAAGAACCUGAAACCGUGUACGUACAAGCAGUGGGAGCACCCUUUGGGUGUGACUGCGUACCUUUUGUAUAAUGGGUCAGCGACUUAUAUUCUGUAGCAAGGUUAACCGAAUAGGGGAGCCGGAGGGAAACCGAGUCUUAACCGGGCGUUAAGUUGCAGGGUAUAGACCCGAAACCCGGUGAUCUAGCCAUGGGCAGGUUGAAGGUUGGGUAACACUAACUGGAGGACCGAACCGACUAAUGUUGAAAAAUUAGCGGAUGACCUGUGGCUGGGGGUGAAAGGCCAAUCAAACCGGGAGAUAGCUGGUUCUCCCCGAAAGCUAUUUAGGUAGCGCCUCGUGAAUUCAUCUCCGGGGGUAGAGCACUGUUUCGGCUAGGGGGCCAUCCCGGCUUACCAACCCGAUGCAAACUGCGAAUACCGGAGAAUGUUAUCACGGGAGACACACGGCGGGUGCUAACGUCCGUCGUGAAGAGGGAAACAACCCAGACCGCCAGCUAAGGUCCCAAAGUCAUGGUUAAGUGGGAAACGAUGUGGGAAGGCCCAGACAGCCAGGAUGUUGGCUUAGAAGCAGCCAUCAUUUAAAGAAAGCGUAAUAGCUCACUGGUCGAGUCGGCCUGCGCGGAAGAUGUAACGGGGCUAAACCAUGCACCGAAGCU